UCUGGUGGCGAUGCGCUUAGGGGACACACCCGUUCCCAUCCCGAACACGAUGGUUAAGACCUAAGCGGCCGAUGGUACUUUACUGGAGACGGUACGGGAGAGUAGGUGGCUGCCAGAC
rnacentral:rRNA from 1 species